AAUAUUCAUUCAGAUGUUUUCUGACUCUAAAUAGUCUUUUCUCAUUUCUUAUGUUUUCUAAUUUACAUUUAAAACAUUUUCAGCUAUUUUCCAACUUCUUCUGUGUGAACAUCAGCUUUCAAAAGUUCUGCACUUUUGUUUUCAGGUGAAAAUUUCUGUAUUUUUCAUCUCAUUCAACAUUUUUAACUUAAAAUUCAGCAAUUAAUUCAUUUCAGUGCAUACAUUCAGAUUCAAGCAUUCA
rnacentral:lncRNA from 1 species